rnacentral:rRNA from 1 species
AUUGAACGCUGGCGGCAUGCCUUACACAUGCAAGUCGAACGGCAGCACGGGAGCAAUCCUGGUGGCGAGUGGCGAACGGGUGAGUAAUAUAUCGGAACGUGCCCAGUCGUGGGGAUAACGUAGCGAAAGCUACGCUAAUACCGCAUACGAUCUAUGGAUGAAAGCGGGGGAUCGCAAGACCUCGCGUGAUUGGAGCGGCCGAUAUCAGAUUAGGUAGUUGGUGAGGUAAAGGCUCACCAAGCCGACGAUCUGUAGCUGGUCUGAGAGGACGACCAGCCACACUGGGACUGAGACACGGCCCAGACUCCUACGGGAGGCAGCAGUGAGGAAUAUUGGACAAUGGGCGCAAGCCUGAUCCAGCCAUGCCGCGUGCAGGAAUAAGGUCCUAUGGAUUGUAAACUGCUUUUAUACUAGGAAGAAACACACCCUCGUGAGGGUACUUGACGGUACUGUAUGAAUAAGGA